rnacentral:lncRNA from 1 species
AAUAUAUCAGUUUUACAAAAUUGUUAUAAUGUAAACUUUUAGCUAUUUAUUGGAAAGUAGAAUACUUCUGCUACAUAAAUAUGGUCUGUUUUUGACAAAUAAUAAUGCACAUAUAUCGGGUACUAGCAUCAUUAAGUCAUGCUAAAUUACUGAAAUCUUCACAAUUUUAGCAUUUGAGUUAAAUUUUAGACGGUUUUCGUCUUAAAUGGAAGUGGCCGCAUUCGUGUUCAUUCUUAAUAUUUAAAUGUAAGUUGUAUUUGAU